GAUGAAGAAUGCAGUAAAAUGCGAUAAGUUAUGUGAAUUGCAGAAUUCAGUGAAUCAUCGAAUCUUUGAACGCACAUUGCGCCCGCCAGUAUUCUGGCGGGCAUGCCUGUUCGAGCGUCAUUUCAACCCUCAAGCCCUCGGGUUUGGUGUUGGGGAUCGGCGAGCCUUUCUGGCAAGCCGGCCCCGAAAUCUAGUGGCGGUCUCGCUGCAGCCUCCAUUGCGUAGUAGUAAAACCCUCGCAACUGGAACGCGGCGCGGCCAAGCCGUUAAACCCCCAACUUCUGAAUGUUGACCUCGGAUCAGGUAGGAAUACCCGCUGAACUUAAGCAUAUCAAUAAGCGGAGGA
rnacentral:misc_RNA from 1 species